GGCUUAUUGAUUAUAAUUUUAGGUCUGGCCUGCCCAAUGAGUAAUUGAAUGGCCGCGGUAUUUUGACCGUGCAAAGGUAGCAUAAUCACUAGUUUUUUAAUUGAAAGCUUGAAUGAAAGGUUUGAUGAGAAGAUUUCUGUCUCUUUAAAAAUUUACUAGAAUUUUAUUUUUAAGUAAAAAAGCUUAAAUAUAUAUAGAAGACGAGAAGACCCUAUAGAGUUUUAUAAUUAUAUAUUUUAUUCUAUCAAAGGAUAAAAAGAUUGAUUUUUUUUGUAAUUAUUUUAUUGGGGUGAUAGGAAAAUUAAAUAAACUUUUCUUUAUUGAAUACAUAAAUAUAUGAAUAUAUGAUCCUAUUAUUUAGAUUAUAAGAUUAAAUUACCUUAGGGAUAACAGCGUAAUCUUUUUUAGAGUUCUUAUCGAAAAGAAGGGUUGCGACCUCGAUGUUGGAUUAAAGUUUAUAGUUGGUGAAGUAGCUAAUUAAUUAAGUCUGUUCGACUUUUAAAACUUUACAUGAUCUGAGUUUAAACCGGUGUGAG
rnacentral:rRNA from 1 species